UGCAAUUAGCUCAAUUGGUAGAGCAUCGGCCUCUUAAGCCGACGGUGGGGUUCAAAUCCUCGUUGUCAA
rnacentral:tRNA from 1 species